rnacentral:rRNA from 1 species
UACGGAGGAUGCAAGCGUUAUCCGGAUUUAUUGGGUUUAAAGGGUGCGCAGGUUGUUUGAUAAGUCAGUGGUGAAAGUCUGUCGCUUAACGGUAGGAUUGCCAUUGAUACUGUUGGACUUGAAUAUGGAUGAGGUAGGCGGAAUGUGUAGUGUAGCGGUGAAAUGCAUAGAUAUUACACAGAACACCGAUUGCGAAGGCAGCUUACUAAUCCAUCAUUGACGCUGAGGUGCGAAAGCGUGGGGAGCAAACA